AAAGGCAAUGGAAAAUAGAAGAAUAAGUUGGAGUAGCUACUGGUAAUUAUGAUCUUUUUUACUUUUGCCAUGGCCACUUUUGGUCCGGUUUUUUGACUUCUUCAAUUUUUUCCUCUUUCUUUUUCUU
rnacentral:ribozyme from 15 species